rfam:Drosophila pseudoobscura pseudoobscura strain MV2-25 unplaced genomic scaffold Tnknown_group_238, whole genome shotgun sequence.
UGGGGUGGUUUUAGUACGUAUGACUUGACUAGAGCAAGGAAUCGUGCAUGCCAAUGGCACGGGUCAUCGGAAUCUCAUGAAGAUUUCAACUCCCCA